CACAGAGCUCACACAUGAGAGCCCAAACACUUUUUGAGGACUUUGGGGAAAGCAGGAAGGCCGGACAGCAGUACCUACAGGGGCCAAUGGAUCCAAGGAGAAGGCCCAGCGAAAGGAAGGACCCAGCAGCUCCCCCUUGCCAGCGCUGGAGACCCUGGCUCUGGGGCCCAGUCCCAGCCCUAGUCCAGCAGCGACGGACAGUGCAUCAGUCAAGGGCACUGCUCACCUCCCUCCGGACCCAACCGCCAUGAAGGCCAAAGCCGAGCCCCCAUGCAGGCCAGCUCACGUCCCAUUCUGCCAUGUCUCGGGCUGGAGCGAAUUGUAUUGAUAGAAAAUAAAAUGUCGACAUAAAAAAGAAU
rnacentral:lncRNA from 1 species